UACGUAGGGGGCUAGCGUUGUCCGGAAUCAUUGGGCGUAAAGAGCGUGUAGGCGGUCCGGUAAGUCCGUUGUGAAAGUCAGGGGCUCAACCCUCGGAUGCCGGUGGAUACUGUCGGACUAGAGUACGGAAGAGGCGAGUGGAAUUCCUGGUGUAGCGGUGAAAUGCGCAGAUAUCAGGAGGAACACCGAUUGCGAAGGCAGCUCGCUGGGACGUUACUGACGCUGAGACGCGAAAGCGUGGGGAGCAAACAGG
rnacentral:rRNA from 1 species